rnacentral:rRNA from 1 species
AUACGGAGGAUCCGAGCGUUAUCCGGAUUUAUUGGGUUUAAAGGGAGCGUAGGUGGACAGUUAAGUCAGUUGUGAAAGUUUGCGGCUCAACCGUAAAAUUGCAGUUGAUACUGGGUGUCUUGAGUACAGUAGAGGCAGGGGGAAUUCGUGGUGUAGCGGUGAAAUGCUUAGAUAUCACGAAGAACUCCGAUUGCGAAGGCAGCUUGCUGGACUGUAACUGACGCUGAUGCUCGAAAGUGUGGGUAUCAAACAGGAUUAGAUACCCUGGUAGUCCACACAGUAAACGAUGAAUACUCGCUGUUUGCGAUAUACAGUAAGCGGCCAAGCGAAAGCGUUAAGUAUUCCACCUGGGGAGUACGCCGGCAACGGUGAAACUUAAAGGAAUUGACGGGG